GAUGAACGCUGGCGGCGUGCCUAACACAUGCAAGUCGAACGAAGCACUGUAAACGGAGAUUCGUCGAAGUUUGCUUUGACUGAGUGGCGGACGGGUGAGUAACGCGUGGAUAACCUGCCUCACACUGGGGGAUAACAGUUAGAAAUGGCUGCUAAUACCGCAUAAGCGCACAGUACCGCAUGGUACGAUGUGAAAAACCCAGGUGGUGUGAGAUGGAUCCGCGUCUGAUUAGCCAGUUGGCGGGGUAACGGCCCACCAAAGCGACGAUCAGUAGCCGACCUGAGAGGUGACGGCCACAUUGGGACUGAGACACGGCCAAACUCUACGGGAGGCAGCAGUGGGGAAUAUUGCACAAAUGGCGAAGCCUGAUGCAGCGACGCGCGUGAGUGAAGAAGUAUCUCGGUAUGUAAAGCUCUAUCAGCAGGGAGAAAAUGAC
rnacentral:rRNA from 1 species